UGGACCACCAUGCUGCUAAAUAAGCUAUGAACACUAGGUACGAAUGUUCUGGAAUAAACUCUGAGGUGCAACAGCCCAAGUAAAGGUCCCAUGUCUACUAGAAGGGCAGAUGAGUAUCUGAUCCUGGAUGGGGAGAAAAGUGUUAAAAUACACAAAGAUGUGGAAUUUCAAGAAGUUAUCUACAUAGAAGAACUUGAAAAAAUUGAAGAAGAGAGAAUAAUUUUUUUUCCCAAGGGCACUUAAGAUCUGAAAGAACAAAGUAAACAUCUGGCUGUGGGGAACUCAUUCUCAGGAACAAUGACUUGAAAUUUACUCACACUGUUGAAUAUCAGUAGAGCUUUGUG